GGGGCCAUGGUGUAACCCGGGAGCAUUGCUGGCUCCAGACCAGCAGGUUAGGGUUCAAAUCCCUGUGGCCCCACCA
rnacentral:tRNA from 1 species